AUGGGCGCAGCCUGAUGCAGCGACGCCGCGUGAGGGAUGGAGGCCUUCGGGUUGUAAACCUCUUUCGCCAGUGAAGCAGGCCUGUCCCUUUUGUGGGUGGGUUGACGGUAGCUGGAUAAGAAGCGCCGGCUAACUACGUGCCAGCAGCCGCGGUAAUACGUAGGGCGCGAGCGUUGUCCGGAAUUAUUGGGCGUAAAGAGCUCGUAGGCGGCUGGUCGCGUCUGUCGUGAAAUCCUCUGGCUUAACUGGGGGCUUGCGGUGGGUACGGGCCGGCUUGGGUGCGGUAGGGGAGACUGGAACUCCUGGUGUAGCGGUGGAAUGCGCAGAUAUCAGGAAGAACACCGGUGGCGAAGGCGGGUCUCUGGGCCGUUACUGACGCUGAGGAGCGAAAGCGUGGGGAGCGAACAGGAUUAGAUACCCUGGUAGUCCACGCCGUAAACGUUGGGCACUAGGUGUGGGGGGCCUUUUCCGGGUCUUCCGCGCCGUAGCUAACGCAUUAAGUGCCCCGCCUGGGGAGUACGGCCGCAAGGCUAAAACUCAAAGGAAUUGACGGGGGCCCGCACAAGCGGCGGAGCAUGCGGAUUAAUUCGAUGCAGCGCGAAGAACCUUACCAAGGCUUGACAUGUGCCGGUCGGCUCCGGAGACGGG
rnacentral:rRNA from 1 species